rnacentral:lncRNA from 1 species
CAGUCCGCCGCCCUUGAAGCACCCCCCGCGUAGUUGUCCCCUUGUACUUUUCAUUUUUCCAUUUUUUCUUGUACUCCUGCAACUAGCGCGAGGCGCCUUAUUUCGUGUUAGCCCUUUGUCACUCUGAAUGUUAUCCGUGAACUUGUUCGUUUGAAUUUUCUUUUAUCCAAUGCCAUUUUGCUUGCUUUUCCACCUAUGACUAGCUUGCCGGGGAGGGGCUCUGUCUUUCCCG